UCUGGUGAUUAUGGCUUGAAGGUAACACCCGUUCCCAUGCCGAACACGAAGGUUAAGCUUCAAAGCGCUGAUGGUACUGCAGGGGAG
rnacentral:rRNA from 1 species